GACGAACGCUGGCGGCGUGCUUAACACAUGCAAGUCGAGCGGUAAGGCCCUUUCGGGGGUACACGAGCGGCGAACGGGUGAGUAACACGUGGGUGACCUGCCCUUAGCUCUGGGAUAAGCCUGGGAAACUGGGUCUAAUACCGGAUACGACUCCGCGGUGCAUGCUGUGGGGUGGAAAGCCUUGUGCGGCUGGAGAUGGGCCCGCGGCCUAUCAGCUUGUUGGUGGGGUGAUGGCCUACCAAGGCGACGACGGGUA
rnacentral:rRNA from 1 species